GACGAACGCUGGCGGCGUGCUUAACACAUGCAAGUCGAACGGUAAGGCCCUUCGGGGUACACGAGUGGCGAACGGGUAAGUAACGCGUGAGUAACCUGCCCUUCACUCUGGGAUAACAGUUGGAAACGGCUGCUAAUACCGGAUAUUCAGCUCCUGUCGCAUGGUGGGGGUUGGAAAGUUUUGGUGGUGGAGGAUGGGCUCGCGUCCUAUCAGCUUGUUGGUGGGGUGAUGGCCUACCAAGGCGUCGACGGGUAGCCGGCCUGAGAGGGCGACCGGCCACAUUGGGACUGAGAUACGGCCCAAACUCCUACGGGAGGCAGCAGUGGGGAAUAUUGCACAAUGGGCGGAAGCCUGAUGCAGCAACGCCGCGUGCGGGAUGACGGCCUUCGGGUUGUAAACCGCUUUCAGCAGGGACGAAGCGCAAGUGACGGUACCUGCAGAAGAAGCACCGGCUAACUACGUG
rnacentral:rRNA from 1 species